rnacentral:tRNA from 1 species
GGAGAGGUGACAGAGCGGUUGAUUGUGCCUGUCUCGAAAGCAGGUGUACCGCAAGGUACCGGGGGUUCGAAUCCCUCCCUCUCCG